rnacentral:rRNA from 1 species
ACUUAAAACUCAAAGGACUUGACGGUGUCCCAAACCAACCUAGAGGAGCCUGUCCUAUAAUCGAUAAUCCACGUUCCACCCCACCCCCCCUUGAAAUCAGCCUGUAUACCGCCGUCUUCCAGUUCACCUUAUGACAGACCAAAAGCGAACACAACAGCUCACCACUAAGACGUCAGGUCAAGGUGCAGCCAAUGAGGGGGUAGCGAUGGGCUACAUUUUCUACCACAACAGAACACCACCAGCCACCACAUGAAAUAUGGGUUACAAGGCGGAUUUAGCAGUAAGCCAGACA